CCUACGGGAGGCAGCAGUAGGGAAUAUUGGGCAAUGGAGGCAACUCUGACCCAGCCAUGCCGCGUGCAGGAUGAAGGCGUUAUGCGUUGUAAACUGCUUUUAUAUAGGAAGAAAGAGUUCUUGCGAGAACAGUUGACGGUACUAUAUGAAUAAGCACCGGCUAACUCCGUGCCAGCAGCCGCGGUAAUACGGAGGGUGCAAGCGUUGUCCGGAUUUAUUGGGUUUAAAGGGUGCGUAGGCGGUUUAUUAAGUCAGUGGUGAAAGACGGUCGCUCAACGAUUGCAGUGCCAUUGAUACUGGUAGACUUGAGUGAGAUUGAGGUAGCUGGAAUGGAUAGUGUAGCGGUGAAAUGCAUAGAUAUUAUCCAGAACACCAAUUGCGUAGGCAAGUUACUAAGUCUCAACUGACGCUGAGGCACGAAAGUGUGGGUAUCAAACAGGAUUAGAUACCCUGGUAGUCCACACUGUAAACGAUGAUAACUAACUGUUGGCUUUCGGGUCAGUGGUACAGAGAAAUCGUUAAGUUAUCCACCUGGGGAGUACGCCGGCAACGGUGAAACUCAAAUGAAUUGACGGCUGAGACGNGCGAGGACGACGACGAGGGGAGGAGG
rnacentral:rRNA from 1 species